AGUGAACGCUGGCGGUAGGCCUAACACAUGCAAGUCGAACGGCAGCACAGUAAGAGCUUGCUCUUACGGGUGGCGAGUGGCGGACGGGUGAGGAAUACAUCGGAAUCUACUUUUUCGUGGGGGAUAACGUAGGGAAACUUACGCUAAUACCGCAUACGACCUACGGGUGAAAGCAGGGGAUCUUCGGACCUUGCGCGAUUGAAUGAGCCGAUGUCGGAUUAGCUAGUUGGCGGGGUAAAGGCCCACCAAGGCGACGAUCCGUAGCUGGUCUGAGAGGAUGAUCAGCCACACUGGAACUGAGACACGGUCCAGACUCCUACGGGAGGCAGAAGUGGGGAAUAUUGGACAAUGGGCGCAAGCCUGAUCCAGCCAUACCGCGUGGGUGCAGAAGGCCUUCGGGUUGUAAAGCCCUUUUGUUGGGAAAGAAAAGCAGCAGGUUAAUACCCCGCUGUUCUGACGGUACCCAAAGAAUAAGCACCGGCUAACUUCGUG
rnacentral:rRNA from 1 species